rnacentral:rRNA from 1 species
UACGGAAGGCAGCAGUGGGGAAUAUUGCACAAUGGGCGCAAGCCUGAUGCAGCCAUGCCGCGUGUAUGAAAAAGGCCUUCGGGUUGUAAAGUACUUUUCAGUCGUGAGGAAGGUGUUAAGGUUAAUAACCUUAGCAAUUGACGUUAGCGACAGAAGAAGCACCGGCUAACUCCGUGCCAGCAGCCGCGGUAAUACGGAGGGUGCGAGCGUUAAUCGGAAUUACUGGGCGUAAAGGGCACGCAGGCGGUUAAUUAAGUUGGAUGUGAAAUCCCCGGGCUUAACCUGGGAAUGGCAUUCAAGACUGGUUAGCUAGAGUCUUGUAGAGGGGGUAGAAUUCCAUGUGUAGCGGUGAAAUGCGUAGAGAUGUGGAGGAAUACCGGUGGCGAAGGCGGCCCCUGGACAAAGGGCUGACGCGUCAUGUGCGAAAGCGUGGGGAGCAAACGAGGGAUUAGAUACC